UGUUAGUUUGCAAUGCAAUGCAGUUUAUCGAAUGUUAACAGUAUUCUCCAAAUGCAUAUUGUCGCAGUCAAUUAUUUCAAAUGAAUAAUGAUACACAACGUCAUUGUAUCAAAAGAUACCAAUGAUUGAUUUAUAUUGGUAUCCAAAUUGGGCAGCAGUGUGGAAUGGUAUGAAAUGGGUAUAGCGGAUUUGAAAUAUUGAACAAAUCAGGGUGCAGAAGCAAAGGCCUUAAUCUAUGAACUAUCUAUCUAUAAAGCAGUGAUAACAGUGAUAACAGUAACGGUUUAAAUUUCUGAAUUCAGAAGAAUCAGUCGAACCGCCGUGUAGGUUCGUUAUUAUAUCAGAAUAUUGCUGGGAUGGUGGAUUGUCUAUUAAGCAGGAGUAAAUAAAACCGAGGAGAUUUUCACGGUCAGGAUUUGGGAACGAUUCAGAUUAGUAUAUAUCGUAAAGCCGAUACGAAAGCAAGGUUCUACCUAGGGACUGACCGAAACCUAAAAACAUGUAAGGUUUUUUGGACAAGAAUAAUAAGAUCACCUGUGAAAUAUUGACGUCGAGCACUUUUCGACCUUUUAUUAAUUUUUUGGAGGUAAAAGAAGCAAACGUUCAAGACAUACUUUUCUGGUAAUUGGAGAAAUCUUUCGAAAAAGCUAUAGUUGCUUCAUACACGUCGUUCUUUGAGAUAUAAGUAGACAUUCUAGAAAGUACCAACGGAGAGCCAUAGAAUGAAGGACACGUUGUGGAGAUGGUCUUAGAUGUGUCUGGCUGCACUAAAAAACAUAAAUCUGAGGCGGCAUCUGAGGAGUGCACUAAACCCUAAGCAGGAGUCUACAUCAAAACAACACAACUCGCAAGCAUCACCAUGGCAACUAUUGCUGGGGGUUGACCGUGGCGCCUCUGGAUUUCUCCACGAGGCCACUACUUGAAAUCCUCGGUGGCUCAAAGGAGCUAUCGAAUCGUGGGAAACGGAGUUCAGUUGUGGUUUGGUUUUGGAAUUAGGAA